ACGUAGGGUGCGAGCGUUAAUCGGAAUUACUGGGCGUAAAGCGUGCGCAGGCGGUUUUGUAAGCCAGAUGUGAAAUCCCCGGGCUUAACCUGGGAAUGGCAUUUGGGACUGCAAGGCUUGAGUGCGGCAGAGGAGACUGGAAUUCCUGGUGUAGCAGUGAAAUGCGUAGAUAUCUGGAGGAACACCGGUGGCGAAGGCGGCAUCCUGGACCAAUUCUGACGCUGAGGAGCGAAAGCCAGGGGAGCAAACGGGA
rnacentral:rRNA from 1 species